AGGACAGUAGUUCAUGUGGAAGAACGCGCCGCUAUAUGGUUGUAAUACAGGUUCAACUCCUGUCUGUCCUA
rnacentral:tRNA from 1 species